AUACGUAGGGGGCGUGCGUUGUCCGGAAUGAUUGGGCGUAAAGGGCGCGUAGGCGGCCCGGUAAGUCUGGAGUGAAAGUCCUGUUUUUAAGAUGGGAAUUGCUUUGGAUACUGUCGGGCUUGAGUGCAGGAGAGGUAAGUGGAAUUCCCAGUGUAGCGGUGAAAUGCGUAGAGAUUGGGAGGAACACCAGUGGCGAAGGCGACUUACUGGACUGUAACUGACGCUGAGGCGCGAAAGUGUGGGGAGCAAACAGGAUUAGAUACCCUGGUAGUCCACACUGUAAACGAUGAAUGCUAGGUGUAGGGGGUAUCGACCCCUUCUGUGCCGCAGUCAACACAAUAAGCAUUCCGCCUGGGGAGUACGGCCGCAAGGUUGAAACUCAAAUGAAUUGGCGGGG
rnacentral:rRNA from 1 species